UACGAAGGGGACUAGCGUUGUUCGGAAUUACUGGGCGUAAAGCGCACGUAGGCGGAUUUGUAAGUCAGGGGUGAAAUCCCGGGGCUCAACCUCGGAACUGCCUUUGAUACUGCAAAUCUCGAGUCCGAUAGAGGUGGGUGGAAUUCCUAGUGUAGAGGUGAAAUCGAUUAGAUAUUAGGAAGAACACCGGUGGCGAAGGCGGCCUACCUGGACGGCUGACGCUGAGGCGCGAAAGCUAGGGGAGCAAACGGGAUAGAA
rnacentral:rRNA from 1 species